CUAGCGAACAUUUGUAGGGUCCCUUGAUGUCGUUUUCUUCCUUCUAAUUUUCUGGCCAAGACAGAUGAAGAUCAAGAAGCGAUGUUGGAGUAACUUUGAUUUUAAAUUUCAAGCUUUUAAAUAUCUAAGGGGGCUAUGUUCCUAAAAGAUUGGAGAACAUUUAUGUUCUUUAAAUUUGUAAACUUUGUUUUUAUAAAAACGUUGAUAAGAGUCCAUUAGAUGUGUUGAAUUCUUUGAUAUUAUCUCAUGGCAAUUUCUAGGAAGAGGUGGAACAUUUUUUAUGAUGGCUA